GAUGAACGCUAGCUACAGGCUUAACACAUGCAAGUCGAGGGGAAACGAUAGAGAAAGCUUGCUUUUUCUAGGCGUCGACCGGCGCACGGGUGAGUAACGCGUAUCCAACCUGCCCAUCACUUGGGGAUAACCUUGCGAAAGUAAGACUAAUACCCAAUGACGUCUCUAGAAGACAUCUGAAGGAGAUUAAAGAUUUAUCGGUGAUGGAUGGGGAUGCGUCUGAUUAGCUUGUUGGCGGGGUAACGGCCCACCAAGGCGACGAUCAGUAGGGGUUCUGAGAGGAAGGCCCCCCACAUUGGAACUGAGACACGGUCCAAACUCCUACGGGAGGCAGCAGUGAGGAAUAUUGGUCAAUGGACGAGAGUCUGAACCAGCCAAGUAGCGUGCAGGAUGACGGCCCUAUGGGUUGUAAACUGCUUUUAUAAGGGAAUAAAGUGAGUCUCGUGAGACUUUUUGCAUGUACCUUAUGAAUAAGGACCGGCUAAUUCCGUGCCAGCAGCCGACGG
rnacentral:rRNA from 1 species